rnacentral:ncRNA from 2 species
UUUUUAUUAAGAAGGGCGGAGAGAUUAGGCUCAUGGAAACCCUGGCAACCAAUCCCGAAUAUCGGGCGAACGGUGCCAAAACCUAAUCCCGGAAAAGCCGGGAGAUGAUAAAAA